AUUGAUGCUCACACUUUUCCCUUUCCCUUGGCUUUUUACCACCAUAGAGUGUCAUCCACGGCAUGUUACUCAUCACAGCUACAGUGAGGUGUUGACCUAAGGCCCAGAAGAGCUUCUAGCUAUUCUCCAAGAUUGGAAAGUCAAGUCAGUUCCUGUGUCGAACAUGAUUAUACAACUUAUGCCUGCUAAGUUCCAACUCCCAAGUUCUUUCCAAAUGAGUGGGCAAGUUGGGAAACUCCAAACAGAUGUUGACCCUUUCAAAUGUAUCUCUCUGCCCUGAGACUUGGAAGAGAUCCAUUCAGGGCUCACAUUCUUUUCCCCAUAGUUCCAAGAUGACAUCACUUUCUACAGGAAAACUUCAGACCCAGCAUCAUCCAUCCUCAAGGAGUCCUUUACUGUCAAUUAUCAAAUAG
rnacentral:lncRNA from 1 species